rnacentral:rRNA from 1 species
UGCCAGCCGCCGCGGUAAUACGUAGGGGGCAAGCGUUGUUCGGAAUCACUGGGCGUAAAGCGUAUGUAGGCGGAUCAAAAAGUUGGUGGUGAAAUCCCAGAGCUUAACUCUGGAACUGCCAUCAAAACUUUUCAGCUAGAGUUUGAUAGAGGAAAGCAGAAUUUCUAGUGUAGAGGUGAAAUUCGUAGAUAUUAGAAAGAAUACCAAUUGCGAAGGCAGCUUUCUGGAUCAUUACUGACACUGAGGAACGAAAGCAUGGGUAGCGAAGAGGAUUAGAUA